UCAUGUGAAUCUGGUUUUUCUAAGAAAGGAAAGUUUACUAGUAAUCAUUCAAAUGUGAAUAAAGUUCAGAUGAUGACCAACAAAUCUCAGGUGCUGCCUAUCAAACCCAAAAAAUUUUAUGGAUGGUACUUCCAAUGGCCGUUUUGAAGCAGUUGAGGAGAAACUUAAUGAGUUGUUGGAUGCUGAUGGUGGGAUAAGUAAACGAAAAGAUGCCCC
rnacentral:misc_RNA from 1 species